GCCAAUGUAGCUCAGGGGUAGAGCCCUUCCUUGGUAAGGAAGAGGUCGCGGGUUCAAAUCCCGCCAUCGGCU
rnacentral:tRNA from 1 species